rnacentral:rRNA from 1 species
AGAGUUUGAUCAUGGCUCAGAUUGAACGCUGGCGGCAGGCCUAACACAUGCAAGUCGAGCGGUAGCACAGAGAGCUUGCUCUCGGGUGACGAGCGGCGGACGGGUGAGUAAUGUCUGGGAAACUGCCUGAUGGAGGGGGAUAACUACUGGAAACGGUAGCUAAUACCGCAUAACGUCGCAAGACCAAAGUGGGGGACCUUCGGGCCUCAUGCCAUCAGAUGUGCCCAGAUGGGAUUAGCUAGUAGGUGGGGUAACGGCUCACCUAGGCGACGAUCCCUAGCUGGUCUGAGAGGAUGACCAGCCACACUGGAACUGAGACACGGUCCAGACUCCUACGGGAGGCAGCAGUGGGGAAUAUUGCACAAUGGGCGCAAGCCUGAUGCAGCCAUGCCGCGUGUGUGAAGAAGGCCUUCGGGUUGUAAAGCACUUUCAGCGGGGAGGAAGGCGUUAAGGUUAAUAACCUCAUCGAUUGACGUUACCCGCAGAAGAAGCACCGGCUAACUCCGUGCCAGCAGCCGCGGUAAUACGGAGGGUGCAAGCGUUAAUCGGAAUUACUGGGCGUAAAGCGCACGCAGGCGGUCUGUCAAGUCGGAUGUGAAAUCCCCGGGCUCAACCUGGGAACUGCAUUCGAAACUGGCAGGCUAGAGUCUUGUAGAGGGGGGUAGAAUUCCAGGUGUAGCGGUGAAAUGCGUAGAGAUCUGGAGGAAUACCGGUGGCGAAGGCGGCCCCCUGGACAAAGACUGACGCUCAGGUGCGAAAGCGUGGGGAGCAAACAGGAUUAGAUACCCUGGUAGUCCACGCCGUAAACGAUGUCGAUUUGGAGGUUGUGCCCUUGAGGCGUGGCUUCCGGAGCUAACGCGUUAAAUCGACCGCCUGGGGAGUACGGCCGCAAGGUUAAAACUCAAAUGAAUUGACGGGGGCCCGCACAAGCGGUGGAGCAUGUGGUUUAAUUCGAUGCAACGCGAAGAACCUUACCUGGUCUUGACAUCCACAGAACUUUCCAGAGAUGGAUUGGUGCCUUCGGGAACUGUGAGACAGGUGCUGCAUGGCUGUCGUCAGCUCGUGUUGUGAAAUGUUGGGUUAAGUCCCGCAACGAGCGCAACCCUUAUCCUUUGUUGCCAGCGGUUAGGCCGGGAACUCAAAGGAGACUGCCAGUGAUAAACUGGAGGAAGGUGGGGAUGACGUCAAGUCAUCAUGGCCCUUACGACCAGGGCUACACACGUGCUACAAUGGCAUAUACAAAGAGAAGCGACCUCGCGAGAGCAAGCGGACCUCAUAAAGUAUGUCGUAGUCCGGAUUGGAGUCUGCAACUCGACUCCAUGAAGUCGGAAUCGCUAGUAAUCGUAGAUCAGAAUGCUACGGUGAAUACGUUCCCGGGCCUUGUACACACCGCCCGUCACACCAUGGGAGUGGGUUGCAAAAGAAGUAGGUAGCUUAACCUUCGGGAGGGCGCUUACCACUUUGUGAUUCAUGACUGGGGUGAAGUCGUAACAAGGUAACCGUAGGGGAACCUGCGGUUG